UACGUAGGUGGCAAGCGUUGUCCGGAAUUAUUGGGCGUAAAGCGCGCGCAGGCGGCUUCUUAAGUCCAUCUUAAAAGUGCGGGGCUUAACCCCGUGAUGGGAUGGAAACUGAGAGGCUGGAGUAUCGGAGAGGAAAGUGGAAUUCCUAGUGUAGCGGUGAAAUGCGUAGAGAUUAGGAAGAACACCGGUGGCGAAGGCGACUUUCUGGACGACAACUGACGCUGAGGCGCGAAAGCGUGGGGAGCAAACAGGAUUAGAUACCUAGUCCGGCUGACUGACU
rnacentral:rRNA from 1 species